UUGAAAGGGAAACGAUUGAAGUCAGUCGUACCGACGAGAAAUCAGCUCUUUGAGUGUGGACUUGUGGGCGUGCGUGAGCUUUUACGGUCUCGCUGUUUGCAAUGUUUGUGCGCUUUGGGUGUACUUUUUUCGUAUGGUUGGCCAACAUCAGUUUCGAUCACUAUAAAAUGACUGGCGGAAUGUAGCUUCGAUUUUCGGUUGAAGUGUUAUAGCCUCUGGUAGAUGUGGUAAUUGGGACUGAGGAUUGCAACGAAUAUCCUUUGGGCUAUCCGUCUGGCCUCUGAAAGUUGCUUGGGUGCUGAAAGCUUGCUUAUGGUUAUCUAAGUUAACGGUCAACAGGUUAGAACGUGAUUACAUUCGUUAAGGAUGUUGACGUA
rnacentral:rRNA from 1 species